AUUGAACGCUGGCGGCAGGCCUAACACAUGAAAGUCGAGCGGAGCGGCGGACGGGUGAGUAAUGCCUAGGAAGCUGCAUGGUAGUGGGGGAUAAAGUCCGGGAACGGGCGCUAAUACCGCAUACUAUCAGAUGAGCCUAGGUCGGAUUAGCUAGUUGGUGGGGUAAAGUCCUACAAAGGCGACGAUCCGUAACUGGUCUGAGGGGAUGAUCAGUCACACUGGAAGUGAGACACGGUCCAGACUCCGACGGGAGUCAGCAGUGGGGAAGAUUGGGCAAGUGGCGAAAGUCUGAUCCAGCCAUGCCGCGUGUGUGAAGAAGGUCUUCGGAUUGUAAAGCACUUUAAGUUGGGAGGCGUUACCAACAGAAUAAGCACCGGCUAACUUCGUGCCAGCAGCCGCGGUAAUUC
rnacentral:rRNA from 1 species